AAUGCACCAAUUUGUAAGUCGCUCUGGAUAAGAGCGCCUGCUAAAUGACUAAAA
rfam:Salmo salar isolate Sally breed double haploid chromosome ssa13, whole genome shotgun sequence.